rnacentral:rRNA from 1 species
GACGAACGCUGGCGGCGUGCUUAACACAUGCAAGUCGAACGGAAAGGCCCUGCUUUUGUGGGGUGCUCGAGUGGCGAACGGGUGAGUAACACGUGAGUAACCUGCCCUUGACUUUGGGAUAACUUCAGGAAACUGGGGCUAAUACCGGAUAGGAGCUCCUGCUGCAUGGUGGGGGUUGGAAAGUUUCGGCGGUUGGGGAUGGACUCGCGGCUUAUCAGCUUGUUGGUGGGGUAGUGGCUUACCAAGGCUUUGACGGGUAGCCGGCCUGAGAGGGUGACCGGCCACAUUGGGACUGAGAUACGGCCCAGACGCCUACGGGAGGCAGCAGUGGGGAAUAUUGCACAAUGGGCGGAAGCCUGAUGCAGCAACGCCGCGUGCGGGAGGCCGGCCUUCGGGUUGUAAACCGCUUUCGCCUGUGACGAAGCGUGAGUGACGGUAAUGGGUAAAGAAGCACCGGCUAACGACG